rnacentral:rRNA from 1 species
GAGUUUGAUCGUGGCUCAGAUUGAACGCUGGCGGCAGGCCUAACACAUGCAAGUCGAGCGGAUGACGGGAGCUUGCUCCUUGAUUCAGCGGAGGACGGGUGAGUAAUGCCUGGGAAUCUGCCUGGUAGUGGGGGACAACGUUUCGAAAGGAACGCUAAUACCGCAUACGUCCUACGGGAGAAAGCAGGGGACCUUCGGGCCUUGCGCUAUCAGAUGAGCCUAGGUCGGAUUAGCUAGUUGGUGGGGUAAUGGCUCACCAAGGCGACGAUCCGUAACUGGUCUGAGAGGAUGAUCAGUCACACUGGAACUGAGACACGGUCCAGACUCCUACGGGAGGCAGCAGUGGGGAAUAUUGGACAAUGGGCGAAAGCCUGAUCCAGCCAUGCCGCGUGUGUGAAGAAGGUCUUCGGAUUGU